rnacentral:lncRNA from 1 species
AUUAAUUUACUUAAUUUUUUAAAUAGAAGGAAAAAGGAAAGAUUAGAUGAUAUUUCAUGAAGGAAGAAGGUGUUACAUGAUUGAGAUUCCAUCAAGUAUUAAAAUUGAGUAGGAAUAAUAAGAAUUGAUUAAACAAGACUUGGGUGAACUAAAAAUUAACACAAAAACUACAAAAAGGCAUCAAGAAUUACAUCAACAACAACAUCAAUAGAACAAGAACGAAAGCAAAAGGAAACACUAAAUCAGAAGUGGAAAACAAAUUAGGAAAGAACAAAAAAGGGAAUUUUAUUACAAAAUGGUACAAGAAGUGGAAGGUUGAGGAGCAUUGACACCAGGCCAUUCCUUGCAGUUGCAGCGUUGGGUUUCAGGCAGGCGAUUGUAAACAGAUGGAACAUGUCUUCCACAACCUCCCCAUGUUGUCUUCCCGCAUGUUGAGCACUUCACUUCGUAGCACAUCUUCGCUUGAUUUUUACCUUGUUGCUCUCUGCUUUAAAAAGAACUGAAUACGAAAAAGUCGACGACUUUUCUUUUCUUGUGAUGAAAUCGAUGAUACCCAGGGAUGGAAGAUGUUGAGAUUAUCGUUCCUUGUUGUGUGCGCCUGCCUAACCAAUCAGCAAUUAGAUCCAUGUAAAGCCUGUGUUCAAUUUGGGCUUAGUCAUGAGCUAAGUUUUUGGGGGCACAUUUGUUUAAGGUUGAAUCUCCAUGAAAGCUAAACUAUAUGUCCUUUUGCUACAAAAAUGAGUGAAAAUGAUGGGC